rfam:Lepisosteus oculatus linkage group LG4, whole genome shotgun sequence.
UACAAUACAAUUUGCUUUGACAGCACAUUGGAAUGACAGAGAAGAUUAGCAUGUCCCCUGCGCAUGGAUGACACGCAAAUUCGUGAAGCAUUCCAUAUUUUU